rnacentral:rRNA from 1 species
ACGCUCGACACCUACGGGAGGCUGCAGUAGGGAAUCUUCCACAAUGGACGCAAGUCUGAUGGAGCAACGCCGCGUGAGUGAAGAAGGUUUUCGGAUCGUAAAGCUCUGUUGUUGGUGAAGAAGGAUAGAGGUAGUAACUGGCCUUUAUUUGACGGUAAUCAACCAGAAAGUCACGGCUAACUACGUGCCGCAGCCGCGGUAAUCUGAGCGGGCUGGCAAGGC